rnacentral:SRP_RNA from 1 species
GCCAGGUGCGGCAGGGGCCUGGAGUCCUAGCUGCUCUGGGGGCUGGGGCGGGAGGAUGGCUUGAGCGCAGGCGUACCGGGCUGUGGCGCGCCAUGCUACGCUGAUUGGGUGUCUGCACCACGUUUGGUGUCAAAAGGGAGACCUCCUGGGAGCAGCGGCCCACCAGGUUGCCUAAGGAGGGGUGGACCGGCCCAGGUCGGAAACAGCAGUUCAAAACUCCGGUGCUGAUCAGAGGCGGGACUGCGCCUGUGAACAGCCCCUGCACCCCAGCCUGGGCAACACAGUGAGACCCCGUCUCUU